rnacentral:rRNA from 1 species
UACGUAGGGUGCGAGCGUUUAAUCGGAAUUACUGGGCGUAAAGCGUGCGCAGGCGGUGAUGUAAGACCGAUGUGAAAUCCCCGGGCUUAACCUGGGAACUGCAUUGGUGACUGCAUUGCUGGAGUAUGGCAGAGGGGGGUGGAAUUCCACGUGUAGCAGUGAAAUGCGUAGAGAUGUGGAGGAACACCGAUGGCGAAGGCAGCCCCCUGGGUCAAGAUUGACGCUCAUGCACGAAAGCGUGGGGAGCAAACAGG